GUGAGGAAUAUUGGUCAAUGGACGAGAGUCUGAACCAGCCAAGUCGCGUGAAGGAAGACGGUUCUAUGAAUUGUAAACUUCUUUUGUGCAGGAAUAAAGUGGGUUACGUGUAACCUUUUGUAUGUACUGUACGAAUAAGGAUCGGCUAACUCCGUGCCAGUAGCCGCGGUAAUACGGAGGAUCCGAGCGUUAUCCGGCGUUAUUGGGUUUAAAGGGUGCGUAGGUGGAUUGAUAAGUCAGCGGUGAAAGUUUGCAGCUUAACUGUAAAAUUGCCGUUGAAACUGUCGGUCUUGAGUGCAAAUGAGGUAGGCGGAAUGUGUUGUGUAGCGGUGAAAUGCUUAGAUAUAACACAGAACUCCGAUUGCGAAGGCAGCUUACUGGGAUGCAACUGACACUGAUGCACGAAAGCGUGGGUAUCAAACAGGAUUAGAUACCCUGGUAGUCC
rnacentral:rRNA from 1 species